rnacentral:rRNA from 1 species
UGGGGAAUAUUGGACAAUGGGCGAAAGCCUGAUCCAGCCAUGCCGCGUGUGUGAAGAAGGUAUUCGGAUUGUAAAGCACUUUAAGUUGGGAGGAAGGGCAUUAACCUAAUACGUUAGUGUUUUGACGUUACCGACAGAAUAAGCACCGGAUAACUCUGUGCCAGCAGCCGCGGUAAUACAGAGGGUGCAAGCGUUAAUCGGAAUUACUGGGCGUAAAGCGCGCGUAGGUGGUUUGUUAAGUUGGAUGUGAAAUCCCCGGGCUCAACCUGGGAACUGCAUUCAAAACUGACUGACUAGAGUAUGGUAGAGGGUGGUGGAAUUUCCUGUGUAGCGGUGAAAUGCGUAGAUAUAGGAAGGAACACCAGUGGCGAAGGCGACCACCUGGACUAAUACUGACACUGAGGUGCGAAAGCGUGGGGAGCAAACA